rnacentral:rRNA from 1 species
CCUACGGGAGGCUGCAGUGAGGAAUAUUGGUCAAUGGCCGAGAGGCUGAACCAGCCAAGUCGCGUGAGGGAAGACGGCCCUACGGGUUGUAAACCUCUUUUGUCGGGGAGCAAAGCGAGUCACGUGUGACUCAUUGAGAGUACCCGAAGAAAAAGCAUCGGCUAACUCCGUGCCAGCAGCCGCGGUAAUACGUAGGGUGCGAGCGUUAAUCGGAAUUACUGGGCGUAAAGGGUGCGCAGGCGGUUGAGUAAGACAGAUGUGAAAUCCCCGAGCUUAACUCGGGAAUGGCAUAUGUGACUGCUCGACUAGAGUGUGUCAGAGGGAGGUGGAAUUCCACGUGUAGCAGUGAAAUGCGUAGAUAUGUGGAAGAACACCGAUGGCGAAGGCAGCCUCCUGGGACAUAACUGACGCUCAGGCACGAAAGCGUGGGGAGCAAACAGGAUUAGAUACCCCGGUAGUC